rnacentral:rRNA from 1 species
GUCGAACGCUGGCGGCGUGCCUAAUACAUGCAAGUCGAACGCACUGGGGACGGUUGAGUAACACGUGGGUAACCUCCCAUCAGAGGGGAUAACACUUGGCAACAGGUGCUAAACCGACACUGAUGGAUCGACCCGCGGUGCAUUAGCUAGUGGGUGAGGUAACGGCGCACCAAGUCCACGAUGCAUAGCCGACCUCAGAGGGUGAUCGGCCAAACUGGGACUGAGACACGGCCCAGACUCCUACGGGAGGCAGCAGUAGGGAAUCUUCGGCAAUGGACGAAAGUCUGACAGAGCAACGCCGCGUGAGUGAAGAAGGUUUUCGGAUCGUAAAACACUGUUGUUAGGGAGGCGGUAUCUGACCAGAAAGCCACGGCUAACUACGUGCCAGCAGCCGCGGUAAUUC